AAAAUCCUUGUGUGGAACUGCCGUGGGAUGCGAAAGCCUGCGGCAGUUCGGGCGCUCUUGGGGAUCCAGGAGCGAGUAAAACCAGAUGUUUUGUUCCUGUCUGAAACACACCUGGAUUCGGCUAAGGCAGGGAAACUAAGAAGAAGGCUGGGGUUUGAUGAGAUGGAAAUUUCGGAAAGUGAUGGUAGGAGUGGAGGACUGCUCAUGUUU
rnacentral:rRNA from 1 species